GAUGAACGCUGGCGGCGUGCCUAAUACAUGCAAGUCGAGCGAAUGACGAGGAGCUUGCUCCUCUGAUUUAGCGGCGGACGGGUGAGUAACACGUGGGUAACCUGCCUGUAAGACGGGGAUAACUCCGGGAAACCGGAGCUAAUACCUGAUGAUAACGAGAAGCGCCUGCUUCUUUUUUGAAAGUCGGUUUCGGCUGACGCUUACAGAUGGGCGCGUGGCGCAUUAGCUAGUGGGUGCGGUAACGGCUCACCAAGGCGACGAUGCGUAGCCGACCUGAGAAGGUGAUCGGCCACACUGGGACUGAGACACGGCCCAGACUCCUACGGGAGGCAGCAGUAGGGAAUCUUCGGCAAUGGACGAAAGUCUGACCGAGCAACGCCGCGUGAGCGAUGAAGGCCUUCGGGUCGUAAAGCUCUGUUGUCAGAGAAGAACAAGUACCGGAGUAACUGCCGGUACCUUGACGGUACUUGACCAGAAAGCCACGGCUAACUACGUGCCAGCAGCCGCGGUAAGAC
rnacentral:rRNA from 1 species